rnacentral:rRNA from 1 species
ACAGAGGGUGCGAGCGUUGUUCGGAAUUAUUGGGCGUAAAGGGCGCGUAGGCGGUGCGGUAAGUCUCCUGUGAAAUCUCCGGGCUCAACUCGGAGCGGUCAGGGGAAACUGCCGUGCCUGAGUGUGGGAGAGGUGCGUGGAAUUCCCGGUGUAGCGGUGAAAUGCGUAGAUAUCAGGAGGAACACCUGUGGUGUAGACAGCUUACUGGACCAUUUCUGACGCUGAGACACGAAAGCGUGGGUAGCAAACAGGA